UAAAGGCACUGUUGGAUUCGGUUAGUUCAAAGGUGGUCGAAUGAAAUUCUGAUCAUUUGAUCACAAUAUGUUAUUAACACUUCACAAGUAAAAACCAAUUAAAUCCACCCACCUAUCAAGGAAAGUAAAUUCGUUCAUAUCGCAAGUGAAUUCGACGGAGGCGUCCCGUAUCUCAGCUGACCCGGCUCGGUAGAGAAUUCUCUGAACAUUGUUCGUGAAAAUGAUUCAAAGUAACAGCACUCGUUACUGGUUGCCAGGAAUUUCACCGAGACCGUCCGGAUCCAUGUAUGGCGCGGGCGAGGAUCGACGGUUGGUAGAGGAACGCAUGUCAUAAUCGAAUCGAGCUACAAACGAUGACGGCAGCGGCGGUGACGACGAUGGCGGCAGUGGUUUAGCUAGUAGUAAGAGCGUUUGGCAUGUACGGCGUUUGUGGUCGGUCAGGCUAAAAAUAGUGUUCCUUGGUGUGUGCGGUGUACAAGCGAUUUUUUUUCUUCUGUCGUACGAUCCGGACUAUUUCUGCUUCGCUUGUUCUUCUGUCAUUGAGUGUGAAUGAUUGCGGCAAUGAUGCUGACAGCACUGGCGGAGAUGAUGAUUGGCAUCGUAGUCCGCAAAUAUCGUCGACGAAAAGUAGAAGGAAUCAGCAGUCAGCCUAUAUGCAUGCACCGCUCCGCUGCCAAGGUGAAUUGUUCGGAUGAUGAAAUGGCCUUCGUCCCUAAAACAAAUGAUGAACUUUUACGCUAUUGAAAAUUACAUAAACUCCGCUUCAACGAGGGAUGAAAAAUCUACAGCAGAAGCAGUUUAUGAAAGAUACUCACAAUCAAUCACCGUACCAGUCUACGUGACGUUACGGUACUACUCUGGAUGGUCAAUCGCAGUGUUUCAAUCUAGUUAAUCCUCAAUCAAAGGGUAUUUAUCCUAUUUACUACUACGGUCCGAUCCGGUUCUUCGGUUAAAGUGUGCUACGAACCUGGUGUCGAGACCAACUAGGAUCACCGAAAUUUUCACCUCUUCACUCCUAACACCUAUUAUUAUUCCGAAAGUUAAUAAUUAAUAGUUGAUUAAAUCACGUUAGCUUAAUA